AUGCAUGGUUUGGCCGUAGGCCAUUGUUGGUCUCCCUCGAAUUGUGAGGAGAGGACAGAUGAAAACAUGCUAGACUAACACUUGAGGAGUUAACAGGGCCACCAGUCUCUCAAGGUCAGAUUGAGUUGGUAGUAUAAUACUCCGACAUUA